GAUGAACGCUGGCGGCGUGCCUAAUACAUGCAAGUCGAGCGAACGGACGAGAAGCUUGCUUCUCUGAUGUUAGCGGCGGACGGGUGAGUAACACGUGGAUAACCUACCUAUAAUACUGGGAUAACUUCGGGAAACCGGCGCUAAUCCCGGAUAAUAUUUUGAACCGCAUGGUUCAAAAGUGAAAGACGGUCUUGCUGUCACUUAUAGAUGGAUCCGCGCUGCAUUAGCUAGUUGGUAAGGUAACGGCUUACCAAGGCAACGAUGCAUAGCCGACCUGAGAGGGUGAUCGGCCACACUGGAACUGAGACACGGUCCAGACUCCUACGGGAGGCAGCAGUAGGGAAUCUUCCGCAAUGGGCGAAAGCCUGACGGAGCAACGCCGCGUGAGUGAUGAAGGUCUUCGGAUCGUAAAACUCUGUUAUUAGGGAAGAACAUAUGUGUAAGUAACUGUGCACAUCUUGACGGUACCUAAUCAGAAAGCCACGGCUAACUACGUG
rnacentral:rRNA from 1 species